rnacentral:misc_RNA from 1 species
GAAAUGCGAUAAGUAAUGUGAAUUGCAGAAUUCAGUGAAUCAUCGAAUCUUUGAACGCACAUUGCGCCCGCCAGUAUUCUGGCGGGCAUGCCUGUCCGAGCGUCAUUUCAACCAUCAAGCCCCCGGGCUUGUGUUGGGGACCUGCGGCUGCCCGCAGGCCCUGAAAACCAGUGGCGGGCUCGCUGUCACACCGAGCGUAGUAGCAAUCACCUCGCUCAGGGCGUGCUGCGGGUUCCGGCCGUUAAACAGCCUUACAAAACCCAAGGUUGACCUCGGAUCAGGUAGGAACACCCGCUGAACUUGAGC